UACGUAGGGGGGCUAGCGUUGUCCGGAAUCAUUGGGCGUAAAGAGCGUGUAGGCGGCCCGGUAAGUCCGCUGUGAAAGUCGGGGGCUCAACCCUCGAAUGCCGGUGGAUACUGUCGGGUUAGAGUGCGGAAGAGGCGAGUGGAAUUCCUGGUGUAGCGGUGAAAUGCGCAGAUAUCAGGAGGAACACCAAUUGCGAAGGCAGCUCGCUGGGACGUAACUGACGCUGAGACGCGAAAGCGUGGGGAGCAAACAGG
rnacentral:rRNA from 1 species